UGCUGAGCAGGUCAAGAACCUUCUCUAGUUGUCAUCUGUUAAAAUGAGGGAGGGGGGAUCAUUCCGACCUUCAGGGCAGUACAGAGAGUUAAAAAAAUAAAAAACAGAUAUGAAAGUACAAGGUACGUAAUAAGGCCUAAUAAAUUACAUUGUUUUGUCUGCCUAUAACUCUCUUAAGACUAAAUUUAGAGGUUACCCAGAGUUUAAGAAAAAAUACAACUGUGUAAUGCAUCACAUGCUUACUGGGGGAUUAAAAACAAUUUCUAGUUAGCAGAGCCUGUCUGUUUUUCUGCGUGGAGCCACAAAGGCACAAAGGUUCUGCUUAGCCGAGAACAUGUCAAGGAAGGACCAUCGAGGGACACAGACAACAGAGGACAGCUCUUGUCAGGACUAAAUGAGAGAAGACACGCAGAGCACUUGGCACGACACGUUGAACAAACCAAGAAUCCGUAAGGGGUAGCCAUUCGGGAAUCGAAGCCUUGUCUUCUUUCUGGUUGCUGUUCUUGAAGGAUCAGAUGGUGGUGGUGAGCACGACAGUGGGCUUCGACAGUCAGGUAGACUCGGCCACUGCCUCUCCAGAUCAACUGAGUUGCAAUCUGCAUCGUAACACAAUAAAGUUGGAGAAGCACGCCUCUAGUAAGGUGCCCUUCAACUUGGCUAUGCCAAGCGUGGUCUGGGAACCAGCAGCGUGGGCGUCAGCUAGAAGCCGGUUAAAAAAGGCAGCUUCUGGGGCCCCAGGCUGGACCCAUUUAUUUGAGCCUCCAGGGCUGAGCCUGGCAAUCUGCAUGUUUCUGGCUGUGCAUUGACUGUAUUCGUCACAGUGCCUUCCACGCGGUAGGCAUCAAUACACGACCCCAUUACAUCUGCUUGGAUUAAGUCCUUGAUAAACAGCUCCUACAUUA